UAGAGGUGAUUCAACAAAUCACAGCACAUAUUGAUGGGUUUCACUUCCUGAUUUGCUUCAAUGGGUAGACUCGCAACAGCAUUCAUUGACUUGAAUAAGGACGGUGUCGAUGCCAGAUCUGACGGUCUACGGAAUCUGAAUAAAAGUUUUGGAUGCUGAUUCGCUGCUUCUCUCCCUCAACUCCGCCGCAUAGUUACUGUUGCUACGACUAACAGGCGAGUGCAAGCAGUUCCCGGGAAAAGGGGAGACAGAUCCGGCAAGCAAGUUUGGGCCAAUCAGAGUAUCUCCACCCAGUGAUCUCCACAGAUGGAUGAAGCCAACCUGCUUGCUCUGCCUCUCCAGUACUGAUCAUCCUGAGAAACUGACGGACCGGACCGGAGCCUGUACCAGAGCUCUUAGUUCACCAGAGACCGAAGCAGCAUGCAGACCUGAGGAGCACCAACACUCCCUCCAUUCUCCCUUUCUCUCUCCCUCCUCCAGUCCUCCCAGCCACCCAUGCUCCUCUCCUCUCCCUGGGCAUAAUGCUCCAUCUCUACUGCUGAGCUCCCCCUAACCCCCUA